rnacentral:rRNA from 1 species
UGGCGGCAUGCUUAACACAUGCAAGUCGAACGGCAGCACGGGCUUCGGCCUGGUGGCGAGUGGCGGACGGGUGAGUAACACGUAGGAAUCUGCCUGGUAAUGGGGAUACCCGGGGAAACUCGGGCUAAUACCGCAUACGCUCUACGGAGGAAAGCGGGGGGAUCUUCGGACCUCGCGUUAUCAGAUGAGCCUGCGUCCGAUUAGCUAGUUGGCGGGGUAAAGGCCCACCAAGGCAACGAUCGGUAGCUGGUCUGAGAGGACGAUCAGCCACACUGGAACUGAGACACGGUCCAGACUCCUACGGGAGGCAGCAGUGGGGAAUAUUGGACAAUGGGCGCAAGCCUGAUCCAGCAAUGCCGCGUGUGUGAAGAAGGCCUGCGGGUUGUAAAGCACUUUAAGCAGGAAAGAAGGCUUCAGGGUUAAUACCCUUGGGGAUUGACGUUACCUGCAGAAUAAGCACCGGCUAACUCCGUGCCAGCAGCCGCGGUAAUACGGAGGGUGCGAGCGUUAAUCGGAAUUACUGGGC